rnacentral:lncRNA from 10 species
CCCGUCUCUACUAAAAAUACAAAAAAUUAGCCGGGCGUGGUGGCCUGCGUCUGUGGUCCCAGCUACUUGGGAGGCUGAGGCAGCAGAAAGGCGUGAACCCAGGAGGCGGAGCUUGCAGUGAGCAGAGAUCACGCCAUUGCACUCCAACCCAGGAGGCGGAGCUUGCAGUGAGUGGAGAUCACGCCAUUGCACUCCAGCCUAGGAGCUCGCAGUGAGUGGAGAUCACGCCAUUGCACUCCAACCCAGGAGGCGGAACUUGCCGUGAGCGGAGAUCACGCCAUCGCACUCCAGCUUAGGAGCUCGCAAGUUUCACUCUCAGAGGAGGAUUUUGUUCUUCAAUUGUGGAGUGAUCUCUAUCACCAGUGACUAAAGAUGUUGGAGCACAGAGAGCCAUACCCCAAAAUAUGAUGCUUCGGCAUGCUGACUGCUUUGAAAAUUGAAAGGCCUCAGAAAUAAUCCUCAGUGCCAGGGUCUCCCUCUGACCUCCCCCUACCUCCCUUUCUCUCUGAUCCUGUCUCUCCCAAAGCACAGAAUGAAGCUGUUCUCUGAAUUCCCUUAUCUACCUAGAAACUGGACCCCCAAAGAGGAACACAAUUUGCCUUUGAUCCCUUCCCUGAAAUUUCAUUAACCAGAGAAAAUUAAAACUUCUAUCACAAAGGAAGAGACUGAACAUUAAACACCAUAGCUACAGCCCAGACAAACUUCUUCCCAAACCAUUGUUUGUUCUCCUGCCUGUUAAAUUGCCAGAGAAUCAUUCACAAGAUAAAGUCUGCCUUCUGGGUCCAUUCAUUCCCCACUAAAAAUCUUUUACUCCUACACCCUCAUGUCUCCUUCCUCCAUGAAGAAGGGUCUAUAAACCUCUAGGCCUCAUUGGGUUAUUGGGUAAUCAUUCUCAUGCAGUUCCCCUGUGCUCUGCAUGUUAAAUAAAUUUGUAUGCCUUUUUCUCCUACCUGCCUUUUGUCAUUUUCAGUGAACCUUCAGAAGGUAAAGGCAGAAGCUUUCCUUCUUUGCCCCUAUAGUGUCAACAACAGCCAGCCAGGCAAAGGGUUUCAGAAACCCAAGUGGGAUUAAGAUGAUUAGCCACAUGGCUCUAUUCUACAAACUAGUGGUCAGAAUAACAAGCGUUUGCUUAUUAGGAGGUCGAGGUGGGAGAA